UGUUAAACUCACCAUGAGUGAGUAGUUUUUUUAAUUCUAGGAUUAGGAGAAUGACACUUUCAAUUUUUUUAUGGAUAUAUACUAAAGUUAUUUAAUAGAUUUGAGUUUUGUUCUUUGAUUUAAUGUUCUAUGCUCUUAAUGCAAGCUAUGUGUCGGUACCGACUUAGACAUAAUAUAAGAUACUGAUUGAAGAACUGAAAGGUGAAGGUUAGUAUUGAAAAAUCAGAGUGUUAAACUUAGGAAAUCUGACCUAAAGAUAGGCUAAAAUCCUUCGUGGAAUUCCAUAAGUAAUCAUAAAUCUUAAAGGGUUUUUAUUAGGAUUAAUCACCAACGAAAGUAGGGUUUAGCUCUAAUUGAAAUACACCUUAGGUACCUUGAGAGAGGAUCUAGAAUACCUUAGGAUUAAUUUCUAUCAAAACAACGAUCCUCA
rnacentral:misc_RNA from 1 species